CUUCUAAGAAAAUGCUCAAGCAUUGGACCGUCUUUCUUCUUCUCAUUGAAAUACACUGGCAAACUUGAAGAUGGAACAGUUUUUGAGAGGAAAGGAACUGAUGAAGAGCCUCUAGAGUUCAUGUGUUUUGUAGCCACCAACUGCCCGCAUGACAUCAACCUCCUCCUUUAGCCUGGCUUGAGAACAUCUAGUGCAAUUGCUACCAGGUAGGGUUCACUACAAAAGUUUGAGCAGUAACAGUAACAGUAGCAGUAACAACUCCACCAGAGAUUUCCAAGUUUGGAUUUUUAAUAUGCCAAUAUUUUUUGCAGAUUCUGGAGCCAUGCCAAAGUAAUCUUGCUUAUCAGCCCAAUAUGCUGAAGGUUUGUUACUCUAGUCAUAGGCAGAUCUGAUAAAUCUAGGAGAAUAGGACACCUGGUAUUGUUUGCUUCCCUUAUAAUAGGACACCUAGUCAUAGGCGAGAAUUGCCAUUCUCCAUAUACGAUUAUUAUAACACUGAUCAGUUGAUAUUUUUAUGGGAUGAUUUUUGUUUUCUUUGCCACGCUUGUGCAGAAGAAAGCAUGGUCAAGUCGUGAAAAGAAUAUCUCAGAGGCUAUUCAUGGGGUUGGAAGAAAAGGUAUGGCAGCAGUGCCAAGGAAUCCUCUAUAUCCAAAUAUUGGUGGUAGGGGUGCUGCUUCUGGUAAUAUUGAUCAGAGAGCAAAAGGACAUCUAGACGAAAUGGAGAGCUCUGGGAUGGCCACUAUGUCUGAUGAAACU